rnacentral:rRNA from 1 species
GACGAACGCUGGCGGCGUGCUUAACACAUGCAAGUCGAACGGAAAGGCCUGCUUUCCCUUGUGGAUUGCGGGUGCUCGAGUGGCGAACGGGUGAGUAACACGUGAGUGAUCUGCCCCCAACUUGGGUAUAAGCCUGGGAAACUGGGUCUAAUUCCCGAUAGGACUGCAGGGUGGUGCCUGUGGUGGAAAACGAUUUUCUAGUGGUUGGGGAUGAGCUCGCGGCCUAUCAGCUUGUUGGUGGGGUAAUGGCCUACUAAGGCGGCGACGGGUAGCCGGCCUGAGAGGGUGGACGGCCACAUUGGGACUGAGAUACGGCCCAGACUCCUACGGGAGGCAGCAGUGGGGAAUAUUGCACAAUGGGCGGAAGCCUGAUGCAGCGACGCCGCGUGGGGGAUGACGGCCUUCGGGUUGUAAACUCCUUUCGACCGCGAGGAAGCCACCUGGUUGGAAGGGUGGUGACGGUAGUGGUAGAAGAAGCACCGGCUAACUACGUG